rnacentral:rRNA from 1 species
AUUGAACGCUGGCGGCAGGCCUAACACAUGCAAGUCGAGCGGAUGAGGGAAGCUUGCUUCCUGAUUUAGCGGCGGACGGGUGAGUAAUGCCUAGGAAUCUGCCUAUUAGUGGGGGAUAACGUUCCGAAAGGAACGCUAAUACCGCAUACGUCCUACGGGAGAAAGUGGGGGAUCUUCGGACCUCACGCUAAUAGAUGAGCCUAGGUCGGAUUAGCUAGUUGGUGAGGUAACGGCUCACCAAGGCGACGAUCCGUAGCUGGUCUGAGAGGAUGAUCAGCCACACUGGAACUGAGACACGGUCCAGACUCCUACGGGAGGCAGCAGUGGGGAAUAUUGGACAAUGGGGGGAACCCUGAUCCAGCCAUGCCGCGUGUGUGAAGAAGGCCUUAUGGUUGUAAAGCACUUUAAGCGAGGAGGAGGCUCUUUUGGUUAAUACCCAGAAUGAGUGGACGUUACUCGCAGAAUAAGCACCGGCUAACUCCGUGCCAGCCGCCGCGGUAAGAC